rnacentral:piRNA from 1 species
GUAGAUCUGGCUUAAUAAGACUUC